rnacentral:lncRNA from 1 species
CUUACAGUUGAAGCAGUGGUACUCUCUGGUUUCACAGGUGGUUUUGUGCUUGAAGCUGAAUAAGGGGUGGUUGAUUCAGUGGUACUUACAGUUGAAGUUGAAGCGGUGGUACUCUCUGGUUUCACAGGCGGUUUGGUGCUUGAAGCUGAAUAAGGAGUGGUUGAUUCAGCGGUACUUACAGUUGAAGCAGUGGUACUCGCUGGUUUCACAGGUGGUUUUGUGCUUGAAG